rnacentral:rRNA from 1 species
AUUGAACGCUGGCGGCAGGCCUAACACAUGCAAGUCGAACGCGAAAGUCACUUCGGUGGCGAGUAGAGUGGCGGACGGGUGAGUAACGCGUAGGAAUCUGCCCUGUAGUGGGGGAUAACCCGGGGAAACUCGGGCUAAUACCGCAUACGCCCCACGGGGGAAAGCGGGGGAUCCUUCGGGACCUCGCGCUAUAGGAAGAGCCUGCGUCGGAUUAGCUAGUUGGUAGGGUAAAGGCCUACCAAGGCGACGAUCCGUAGCUGGUCUGAGAGGAUGAUCAGCCACACCGGAACUGAGACACGGUCCGGACUCCUACGGGAGGCAGCAGUGGGGAAUAUUGCGCAAUGGGCGAAAGCCUGACGCAGCCAUGCCGCGUGUGUGAAGAAGGCCUCGGUGUAAG